UAAAUGUGUUUUGUCUGUUUGAAGAGUUAUCCAUGUAGAUCAUUGGCUCACUUCACAGUAGCUUCUUCUUGUCAAAGCUAUUUCUAUGGACAGCCCUCUUCAAAUAUGUCUUCCAUGAACAUAUCUGGGACACCAGGAAAGCUAGGUCAGUACUUGGCUCAGAACAGAACAGAUGGUCAAGCCAGCUUUCUAUCUUCUGUAGUACAUACUAUUUAGUCUCUCAAAA